rnacentral:rRNA from 1 species
CCUACGGGGGACAGCAGUAGGGAAUCUUUCACAAUGGGCGAAAGCCUGAUGGAGCAACGCCGCGUGCAGGAUGAAGGCCUUCGGGUUGUAAACUGCUUUUAUAAGCGAGAAAUAUGAUGGUAACUUAUGAAUAGGGAUCGGCUAACUACGUGCCAGCAGCCGCGGUCAUACGUAGGAUCCGAGCAUUAUCCGGAGUGACUGGGUGUAAAGAGUUGCGUAGGUGGCAUAAUAAGUAGCUAGUGAAAUCUGGUGGCUCAACCAUUCAGACUAUUAGCUAAACUGUUAAGCUCGAGACCGUUAGGGGUAACUGGAAUUUCUAGUGUAGGAGUGAAAUCCGUAGAUAUUAGAAGGAACACCAAUAGCGUAGGCAGGUUGCUGGGACGGUUCUGACACUAAGGCACGAAAGCGUAGGGAGCAAACGGGAUUAGAUACCCCGGUAGUC